GAUAGAGCAGUACAUUCUUUUAUUAUUAAUAACAAAAAUAGAUGCUGCAUGCUAAUUUUAAUGGAACAUUAGACAAUUUUCUUUAUUAAUGGGAAAAAAAAUUUCCCAAUUUGUUAUUUAUCAUUCAUUAAUUCCUACAAUAUUAGCUUGAAUGUUUUGGAGAAGUUCAUAAGCAGAAUCAGGGAAGAAUGAACAAAUAAACUAUGCAUGUUAUAAGGCAUUUACCAUGGAUAUAUAAUGAUGAAUUUGUGAACUGAUAAAGUGUUCAUAAUUAAUCAUGAUAUGGAGCAAAAGCAUACUAUUAUUAUUUUUUAAAUAAAUAAAUAAAAGAUAUGUUAAUGAAAUAAGAAUAUUUAUAUGCAAAAAUUGGGAAAAAAAUGUUCAAUAUUAAAUUAUGCAUAUGCGUUGAUCUUGCCAAAAAAAAAAUU
rnacentral:misc_RNA from 1 species